UACGUAGGGUGCGAGCGUUGUCCGGAAUUAUUGGGCGUAAAGAGCUCGUAGGCGGUCCGUCACGUCGGGUGUGAAAAUCCAGGGCUCAACCCUGGACCUGCACCCGAUACGGGCGGACUAGAGUUCGGUAGGGGAGACUGGAAUUCCUGGUGUAGCGGUGAAAUGCGCAGAUAUCAGGAGGAACACCGGUGGCGAAGGCGGGGCUCUGGGCCGAUACUGACGCUGAGGAGCGAAAGCGUGGGGAGCGAACAGG
rnacentral:rRNA from 1 species